AAUCCGUGGUCUAGAACAAAACGGUGGGAGAAAAACUGAAGUCACGGAAACCCAUCCAGUAAAUUACAGGCAUUUCUGAACUCUGCAAAAAGGAACGGGCAUCUAAACACCAGAGGGUUUAGAAUUCAAAGUCGACAUGACUAAAGGACCAGUGAGAAGCCAGUGGGCAAAGGCACUUGCCACCAAGCCUUACAACUUGAGCCCAAGCCCCCAAACCAACAUGGUGCGAAGAGAGAACUGACUCCUUCAAGUUAUCCUCUGACCUCCCCAUGUGAGCUAUGCCCACUCUGUACAGGAAGCUGCUUAAGCAUGGAGGUAAACAACUCAAAAUGGCUUCAGGAAGUCCCUGAAACUGACCAGAUUCACUACCUCCCUCCCAGCCACAGUAAGCAAUGGAAGCAGAGAGUCCCCCUAAGAAGCGCUAAAAUGGACUGCAAAGCAGACUCAGACAAGCCAAACUGCAAAGACCGAGACCACGCCACACCAGAUGCAUGGAAGAAGCAGCAGAGGGCAGCUGAGCUGCCCAAGAGGUCUAGACCAACUGAGGCAGCUGGAAGGGACAUGCUCCAACCUGUGCUGGGUGGGCUUUGGUGAGUCAUUUACGCCCCUGUAAGUAAAUGACUCACCACAUUCCUGUAAGUAACCCCAAUAAAACUCGUCAGUUCACCAACCUCGAUUUUUGUG